GUUGGGCUGAAACGGCUACCGGGCGCGGGCACCUCUACCUGUGUUGGCCGGCCACUGACACGUCAGCGAGAGGCACCGCAAUCUGGCCGCCCUGGAUCGGCACCUUCCCUUCUGAAGAGGGAGGAGCCCCGUGGCGUGCGGUACCCCAGGGCCAGCUUUGGGGCUACAGGAAAGUCUAUGCUCAAAAAAACGACACCGGGCACCUCUCAAUCCGAGUUGCUGUCGAUCAUGUUUCAUACAACUGAAAGAAGUUUCUAGAACCUUUUAUCCUAGUUCUGCCCAAGUGUUGGGAUGACCUUUCUUCACAUUGUAUGAAGGCCUUGUGCAUCCUCAUGGUGGCUGAACAGAAGACAAACCUUGUGAGAAGCAAUCGAAGAAAUUCAUCUCCAAAAAACUGGAGGAAGGCCUGAUCUGCAGAGAGGAAGCAACAGUGAAAGGAGGUCAUCUCUACCUUCUACUAAGCAUUGAUUCUACAAGAAACAACUGUAUUACCAGAUGCAAUGCUGUUUCUCAGUGCCUAGUACAAUGCCUGAUACUGAAUGAAUAAAGUAUGGUUGGACUAAGGAUAGAGCUACAGACAUAAAAAAUGUAGGAACCUUAUCAAAUACAUCUACUACUUUGUGGCCAGA
rnacentral:lncRNA from 1 species